rnacentral:rRNA from 1 species
UGGGGAAUAUUGGACAAUGGGGGAAACCCUGAUCCAGCCAUGCCGCGUGAGUGAUGAAGGCCUUAGGGUUGUAAAGCUCUUUUACCAGGGAAGAUGAUGACGGUACCUGGAGAAUAAGCACCGGCUAACUUCGUGCCAGCAGCCGCGGUAAUACGAAGGGUGCUAGCGUUGUUCGGAAUCACUGGGCGUAAAGCGCGCGCAGGCGGCCAUUCAAGUCAGGGGUGAAAUCCUUGGGCUUAACCCAAGAAUUGCCUUUGAAACUGUAUGGCUGGAGUGUCGGAGGGGAUAGCGGAAUUCCUAAUGUAGUGGUGAAAUACGUAGAUAUUAGGAGGAACACCGGUGGCGAAUGCGGCUAUCUGGACGACAACUGACGCUGAGGCGCGAAAGCGUGGGGAUCAAACAG